GACGAACGCUGGCGGCGUGCUUAACACAUGCAAGUCGAACGGAAAGGCCCCUUUGGGGGUACUCGAGUGGCGAACGGGUGAGUAACACGUGAGUAACCUGCCCUUGACUUCGGGAUAACUUCAGGAAACUGGGGCUAAUACCGGAUAGGAAUCCUUGCUGCAUGGUGGGGGUUGGAAAGCUUCGGCGGUUUUGGAUGGACUCGCGGCUUAUCAGCUUGUUGGUGGGGUAGUGGCUUACCAAGGCUUUGACGGGUAGCCGGCCUGAGAGGGCGACCGGCCACAUUGGGACUGAGAGACGGCCCAGACGCCUACGGGAGGCAGCAGUGGGGAAUAUUGCACAAUGGGCGGAAGCCUGAUGCAGCAACGCCGCGUGCGGGAUGACGGCCUUCGGGUUGUAAACCGCUUUCAGCAGGGGCGAAGCUUGUGGUGACGGUACCUGCAGAAGAAGCACCGGCUAACUACGUG
rnacentral:rRNA from 1 species